rnacentral:rRNA from 1 species
UACGUAGGGGGCAAGCGUUGUCCGGAAUCAUUGGGCGUAAAGCGCGUGUAGGCGGCUAUACAGGUCCGCUGUGAAAACUCGAGGCUCAACCUCGAGACGUCGGUGGAAACCGUAUGGCUAGAGUCCGGAAGAGGAGAGUGGAAUUCCUGGUGUAGCGGUGAAAUGCGCAGAUAUCAGGAAGAACACCCGUGGCGAAGGCGGCUCUCUGGGACGGUACUGACGCUGAGACGCGAAAGCGUGGGGAGCGAACAGG